GAUGAACGCUGGCGGCGUGCCUAAUACAUGCCAGUCGAGCGAACAGACGAGGAGCUUGCUCCUCUGACGUUAGCGGCGGACGGGUGAGUAACACGUGGAUAACCUACCUAUAAGACUGGGAUAACUUCGGGAAACCGGAGCUAAUACCGGAUAAUAUAUUGAACCGCAUGGUUCAAUAGUGAAAGACGGUUUUGCUGUCACUUAUAGAUGGAUCCGCGCCGCAUUAGCUAGUUGGUAAGGUAACGGCUUACCAAGGCGACGAUGCGUAGCCGACCUGAGAGGGUGAGCGGCCACACUGGAACUGAGACACGGUCCAGACUCCUACGGGAGGCAGCAGUAGGGAAUCUUCCGCAAUGGGCGAAAGCCUGACGGAGCAACGCCGCGUGAGUGAUGAAGGUCUUCGGAUCGUAAAACUCUGUUAUUAGGGAAGAACAAAUGUGUAAGUAACUAUGCACGUCUUGACGGUACCUAAUCAGAAAGCCACGGCUAACUACGUG
rnacentral:rRNA from 1 species